GAAUUUGCAUUUUAUGGACCAAUGGGUUUCGAUGUGGGAGCUUUCAUUGGAAACUUGUUUUUGGCGUACUUUGCUCAAGAUGGCCAUGCUGAUUUAGUAGAUGACCGAAAAUCAUUUAAAGAAUGGGUUUUGAGGACGACUGAAGACACAUGGAAUCUUUUUCACAAAAAAUUCACAGCACUUUGGGACAAGCACAAGGAUGGACAUGGUGAGGCAUAUCUUCC
rnacentral:misc_RNA from 1 species